GACGAACCGUGCGAACGUUAUUCGGAAUCACUGGGCUUAAAGCGCGUGUAGGCGGGACGGCACGUCUGUCGCUGAAAUCCCCCGGCUUAACCGGGGAACUGGCGGAGAUACGACCGUCCUGGAGGGGCGUAGGGGGACCUGGAACUUCCGGUGGAGCGGUGAAAUGCGUUGAGAUCGGAAGGAACGCCCGUGGCGAAAGCGAGGUCCUGGACGCCUACUGACGCUGAGACGCGAAAGCCAAGGGAGCGAACGGG
rnacentral:rRNA from 1 species